rnacentral:lncRNA from 1 species
AUCAUGAAUGACUUUCACAUCAUCAUGAAGGGUGACGUGUUGCAGGAAAAAUUUUAAGUUUUUCCAUAGUGUUUCUACAUAAAGGAAUGAAGAAUUAGUUAAGAACAAUGGCAUUAAUGCAUAUCUGCAAAGCACAAAGUAAGAAAAUAUCUCCAACAAGUCUUUCAGCCUCCAAUACAACAACAACAACAAAAAUAAACAAAUGAAACCCUC